ACCCCAGGCAGGCACAGUCUUCCCCGCCGUGGUCCUAUGACCAGUCUUACCCCUCCUACCUGAGCCAGAUGACGUCCCCGUCCAUCCACUCUACCACCCCGCUGUCUUCCACACGGGGCACUGGGCUUCCUGCCAUCACCGAUGUGCCUAGGCGCAUUUCAGGCCACCCAGCAUUGCAGGACAGCGUGUGGGGCAGCUGGACCUGUGCUUCCUGCCUGGGAGUCUCCCUUGGAAUUCAUCCUGACUCCUUCUAAUAAAAAUGGAUGGGAAAGCAAAACACUUUGCCUUCUAAAGGCCGUAUACCAAGUAUGCUUAGAUAAAUAAGCCACUUUUCUAUUACUUAAGUAAGAAGGAAGUAGUAAUUGAUACUAUUUAUUGUUUGUGUGUGGUAGCUUGAAGCACACCACUGUCCAUUUAUUUGUAAGUGUAAAAUAUGUGUGUUUGUUUCAGCAGCACUUAAAAAAGCCAGUGUCUGGUUACACAUUUCAAUUUUAAUUAAUUGACAUAAAAAUGCUACCGCCAGUGCCAGCUGCAUCCUAUUUAAUUAAAAAGGUACUAUAUUUGUACAUUAUUUUUUAAUGUUAAAAGGGCUUUUUUAAGUUUACAGUACACAUACCGAGUGACUUUAGGGAUGCUUUUGUGUUGAAAUGUUACUAUAGUGGCUGCAGGCAGCAACCCAGAAACACUUUAGAAGCUUUUUUUCCUUGGGAAAAAUUCAAGCACUUCUUCCCUCCACCCUCACUCCAACCACCCCAAUGGGGGUAAUUCACAUUUCUUAGAACAAAUUCUGCCCUUUUUUGGUCUAGGGAUUAAAAUUUUGUUUUUCUUUCUUUCUUUUUUUUUUUUUUUCACUGAACCCUUAAUUUGCACUGGGUCAUGUGUUUGAUUUGUGAUUUCAAGACCAAAGCAAAGUCUUACUACUACUGUGGAACCAUGUACUAGUUCCUGGGAAUUAAAAUAGCGUGGUUCUCUUUGUAGCACAAACAUUGCUGGAAUUUGCAGUCUUUUCAAUGCAGCCACAUUUUUAUCCAUUUCAGUUGUCUCACAAAUUUUAACCCAUAUCAGAGUUCCAGAACAGGUACCACAGCUUUGGUUUUAGAUUAGUGGAAUAACAUUCAGCCCAGAACUGAGAAACUCAACAGAUUAACUAUCGUUUGCUCUUUAGACGGUCUCACUGCCUCUCACUUGCCAGAGCCCUUUCAAAAUGAGCAGAGAAGUCCACACCAUUAGGGACCAUCUGUGAUAAAUUCAGAAGGGAGGAGAUGUGUGUACAGCUUUAAGGAUUCCCUCAAUUCCGAGGAAAGGGACUGGCCCAGAAUCCAGGUUAAUACAUGGAAACACGAAGCAUUAGCAAAAGUAAUAAUUAUACCUAUGGUAUUUGAAAGAACAAUAAUAAAAGACACUUCUUCCAAACCUUGAAUUUGUUGUUUUUAGAAAACGAAUGCAUUUAAAAAUAUUUUCUAUGUGAGAAUUUUUUAGAUGUGUGUUUACUUCAUGUUUACAAAUAACUGUUUGCUUUUUAAUGCAGUACUUUGAAAUAUAUCAGCCAAAACCAUAACUUACAAUAAUUUCUUAGGUAUUCUGAAUAAAAUUCCAUUUCUUUUGGAUAUGCUUUACCAUUCUUAGGUUUCUGUGGAACAAAAAUAUUUGUAGCAUUUUGUGUAAAUACAAGCUUUCAUUUUUAUUUUUUCCAAUUGCUAUUGCCCAAGAAUUGCUUUCCAUGCACAUAUUGUAAAAAUUCCGCUUUGUGCCACAGGUCAUGAUUGUGGAUGAGUUUACUCUUAACUUCAAAGGGACUAUUUGUAUUGUAUGUUGCAACUGUAAAUUGAAUUAUUUGGCAUUUUUCUCAUGAUUGUAAUAUUAAUUUGAAGUUUGAAUUUAAUUUUCA
rnacentral:lncRNA from 10 species